UGGCUCAGUGGUUAAGAGCACUGACUGCUCCUCCAGAGGUCCUGGGUUCAAAUCCCAG
rnacentral:tRNA from 1 species